GACGAACGCUGGCGGCGUGCUUAACACAUGCAAGUCGAACGUGAUUUUUGUGGAAAUUCUUUCGGGAAUGGAAAUGAAAUGAAAGUGGCGAACGGGUGAGUAACACGUGAGCAACCUACCUUACACAGGGGGAUAGCCGUUGGAAACGACGAUUAAUACCGCAUGAGACCACAGAAUCGCAUGAUAUAGGGGUCAAAGAUUUAUCGGUGUAAGAAGGGCUCGCGUCUGAUUAGCUAGUUGGAAGGGUAAAGGCCUACCAAGGCGACGAUCAGUAGCCGGUCUGAGAGGAUGAACGGCCACAUUGGAACUGAGACACGGUCCAAACUCCUACGGGAGGCAGCAGUGGGGAAUAUUGCACAAUGGGGGGAACCCUGAUGCAGCGACGCCGCGUGAGCGAAGAAGGUUUUCGAAUCGUAAAGCUCUGUCCUAGGAGAAGAUAAUGACGGUAUCAUAGGAGGAAGCCCCGGCUAAAUACGUGC
rnacentral:rRNA from 1 species